GAUUGCUAAGCAUCAGCUGAGAGAGAACGGCCUCCUGCCUGCUGUACUAGCCCCAGCACCUUGUGAUCAUACUAUGUUUGGCAUACAUCUGAAAAGUCCAUGGAUGGAUGAAAAACAGAAGACUUGGGAGGAAGAGGAGAGCAAAGAAUGGGAGAAGAAACUGAGCAUUUAAGAUCAAACAGGAGAA